AGCGAACGCUGGCGGCAGGCCUAACACAUGCAAGUCGAACGAACCUUUCGGGGUUAGUGGCGGACGGGUGAGUAACACGUGGGAACGUGCCUUUAGGUUCGGAAUAACUCAGGGAAACUUGUGCUAAUACCGAAUGUGCCCUUCGGGGGAAAGGUUUAUCGCCUUUAGAGCGGCCCGCGUCUGAUUAGCUAGUUGGUUGAGGUAAUGGCUCACCACGGCGACGAUCAGUAGCUGGUCUGAGAGGAUGAUCAGCCACAUUGGGACUGAGACACGGCCCAAACUCCGACGGGAGGCAGCAGUGGGGAAUCUUGCGCAAUGGGCGAAAGCCUGACGCAGCCAUGCCGCGUGAAUGAUGAAGGUCUUAGGAUUGUAAAAUUCUUUCACCGGGGACGAUAAUGACGGUACCCGGAGAAGAAGCCCCGGCUAACUUCGUG
rnacentral:rRNA from 1 species